UACGUAGGGGGCUAGCGUUGUCCGGAAUCAUUGGGCGUAAAGAGCGCGUAGGCGGCUAGAUAAGUCCGGUGUGAAAGUCACAGGCUCAACCUGUGAAUGCCGCUGGAAACUGUCUGGCUAGAGUCCGGAAGGGGCGAGUGGAAUUCCUGGUGUAGCGGUGAAAUGCGCAGAUAUCAGGAGGAACACCGAUGGCGAAGGCAACCGCCUGGGCCUGUACUGACGCUGAGACACGAAAGCGUGGGGAGCAAACAGG
rnacentral:rRNA from 1 species